UACGGGGGGGGCAAGCGUUGUUCGGAAUUACUGGGCGUAAAGGGCGCGUAGGCGGCCUGCUAAGUCGGAUGUGAAAUCCCUCGGCUCAACCGAGGAACUGCAUCCGAAACCAUCUCGCUAGAGUAUGAGAGAGGGAAGCAGAAUUCCUGGUGUAGAGGUGAAAUUCGUAGAUAUCCGGAGGAACACCAGUGGCGAAAGCGGCUCUCUGGGGGCAACCUGACGCUGAGGCGCGAAAGCGUGGGGAGCGAACCGG
rnacentral:rRNA from 1 species